CCAAGCCUGGAUUCAUUUUCAUUUUCCAGUAUCCCCUCUUCUCCAGUCUUUAUAUAUUGACAUUUCAUGAAGUAGAGAAGGGUAAUUUGAAUAACCCACCCCGGUGGCCCUGACGUACAAAGGUGAAUCAAAAGACAAGUGUGGAAAGAUAAGAGGAUGUCCCACCUAACUCUUGUGUCUCAGCAGCAGAUGCUGAUGUGAGGAGGAGACACACUACCCAUUAAUUAGCAUCCAAGGACCAUCUACUAAGAUGAGGAGGAGUGCAGCCCCCAUCAUUGGAAGCAGCAGCCCCGCAAACAAAAGCUCAGUUCCUGGAAGUCUUGCAAAAAGACUGAUUUACUGUCUGCUCU